UUCAUUUUGUGCCUUGGAGUGGUGGAGGAACAACAGCAUGAAAUAUAAAGUUUUAUCGAAGAUGGCUGCUGAUGUACUUGCGAUUCCAAUAUCAACGGUAGCUUCAGAGUCUACAUUUAGUGCUGGAGGUAGAAUUAUAGAUGAAUAUCGUUCAAGAUUGAAUGAAGAAUCUAUUGAGACACUAAUUUGUGGAGGAGAUUGGCUUCGACAUAAAUACAACUUGAAAAAAAAGAAGGUGAAUGAGUCUUUGAAGGAGAUAAGCUUAUAGAUUAAAGAAGUUCUUUAAUACUUUGGUUGCGGAGUGGAAAUGCUAAUGUCCAGAAGAUAUUAUUGAUCUAUUUGCUAUUUUUCUCUUGAAACUUUUAUUGUAUUG